GCCUGGUUGGCUCAGUUGGUUAAGCGUCUGACUUCGGCUCAGGUCAUGAUCUCAGGCUCGUGAGUUCGAACCCCGCGUCGGGCU
rnacentral:tRNA from 1 species